rnacentral:lncRNA from 1 species
GGGCAUGAGUUCUUGACUUGAAAAAAUAGAGGAGGAUCCUCUUCUCUUUGGGUGUGCGCAAAACCUAGGUUUUUAGGGUUUUAUUCCUCAGGAUUUGGAAAGAGAGAAAAAAUAAGAAAAAUAUUGUUUUCUUCUCUAUCUUUUUUUCACCUCUUCAUCUCCUCUAGAAAUCCAUUUUUAAUCUCUGAAAAAAUUUUAGAGAUUUAAAAAAAAAGAUCCAGAUCAGUCAAGAAGAAGGUCUUCGUAUGAACUAACAUUCUCGAGAAGACCGAGCA